rfam:Triticum aestivum genome assembly, contig: Triticum_aestivum_CS42_TGACv1_scaffold_050714_1BS
UACGUACUUUCUCCGUCCGGAAAUACUUGUCAUCAAAAUGAAUAAAAGAGGAUGUAUCUAGAUGUAUUUUAGUUUUAGAUACAUCUUUUUUUGUCCAUUUUGAUGACAAGUAUUUUCAGACGGAUGGAGUAGGCA